GAUUUUGCUGCUCGGAGUCCCUGUUCAAGAGAGCUGUAACACUGAGAAGAGCUGUAACACUAAGAAGAGCUGUAACACAGUAAAGGCUUGCUCGCAGAAGAAUCCUGUUGCCACGCGUCGUUCUUGCUGGCGGGACAUUGGGCGCGCGACAGGGGAGAACUUGUGCUUCCUUCACCCUCUCAACACUAGGACUCCAUCUGGUUUGAACCUGUCCAGGUAUUCCAGGAUUUGUACUCACCUCCAAAACUUUGUAGACCACCAUGGAUUACAGCUGGAUUUCAACAACAGAAAGACCUAAAGCCUAUAAAUUCAUGGAAUCAACUCUCUACUGAAUUGCAGCUCUGACAAGGGAGAAAUAAAGAAAACAAUUAAAAUCAUCCUAGAAUUCAAUGAAUAUAUACACAAUAUAUUCAAAUUUAUUGAAAACAAUGAAAGCAAAGCUAAGAGGAAAGGGCACAGCACUAAGUACUUCCAUAGCUUCAUAUUCUAGAAGCCUGGUCUCCAGUGCAACAGUUUCUGAAGGCAGUAGAAUCUUCACAGCCUCCUGGAAGCUUCUAUGAGGAUUCUCCUUCACCCACCCACCUGAUGAUAUUAGCCGAAAUAUCCAGCAAAGGGAAAGAUAGAACCUGUAGAGACCGCACCAGUGGAAAUGCAAGAACAAAGGGAAGAACUGACAAGAAUUUUAAACCUCACCAACAAUAAAAGACUUGUUGAAUCCAGAUACAACAAAGACUUCAAAUGGAUUUUGCAUCCACUGAUGAUGUCUUUUUGCAUCGACUUGUCAUGUCUGAGUAUGGAGCAACACUUCAAAGCUUCAUCCUUUCCUAGCUAUGGGCACAAGUCUCAUCAAUGUUUGAAUGACUUUUAACAAUUUACAUGGAGAAGAAAGAUGAAGAUGUCUAUGAAAAUAAUGAAUACAACAUGAGAGUUUUCUGGCUCAGCUCAAUUAAAGGACAAAUCCAGUGCAGUGUGCAGCCAAAGAAUUGUAAUGAAGUCAGCUGUCAAACUCCCAGCUUACAGAAGCCUCUCUGUGGGGAAUUCGAUAGCCUCUUGUCAGCUGUUUCACCCACUCCAACACAGACAAAGGGUCUCUGAUGGCCUGCUUUAUUCUAAUAAAUCUACAUGGAGACAUAUGUAGAAAUCCCAACAGAAUAAUGUGUAAUUUGAUUUAACAUUUACAGUUGUCGUCUACUACUGAUCUAUCUCUCUGUGUCUGUUUCCUCCCUCCCUCUCUCUCUCUCUCUCUCUCUCUCUCUCUCUCUCUCUCUCUCAAAACAAUAUUCUUCACAACCACAAGGAAGAAUAUUUUAAGUUUAUUAAUGUUUCUCAUUUUAUCCUUAAAAUUAAUGCUUUAGACUCUUUGGUAGUAAAGAAAUUUGCUCAGUGGAACAUUCCAGAAUGCAUUAGUAUUUCAAGGUAGAGAAUCUCGAUGUUUUAGAUGCUAAUGUUUACAUUAUUUAGCAAGUAUGUUGAAGUCAGCCAGAAGAAUCAAAGAGUAAUUGCUUCAUUCUUUUAUUAUUUUUCCUUCUAUCAAUUAGAUGGGCAUUAGAGAGAAAGAAAGAGAAAAACCAAUAUUUUUCUUUAGAAGAUCAAAGAACAAAGUAAGAAGUGACUAGGGAUGUGCCCUAGAUUCUCUGUUUUCCAAUGGCAAAAUCAUAGUUAAAUUGCUGGUUUUCCUAAUGUAACUUUUCUCCGUUCAUAGAGAAUACAUUAAUUCCAUAUACCCACUGUUAAUUGUACUUACAACUUUUUUAAAUGUGAUUUUAAUUACACAAUUGUUAUCACUCUACAACCUUAGCCACCACAUUUCCUAAAUUCCCUGUGUGAGCCUCCUGAUACAUAUGAUGCUUCAAAUGAGAGUGAUAGUCUAUGAAUAAAUAUCUAACAUUU